AGAGUUUGAUCCUGGCUCAGAUUGAACGCUGGCGGAAUGCUUUACACAUGCAAGUCGAACGGCAGCACGGACUUCGGUCUGGUGGCGAGUGGCGAACGGGUGAGUAAUAUAUCGGAACGUAUCCAAUAAUGGGGGAUAACUAAGCGAAAGCUUGGCUAAUACCGCAUACGCCCUAAGGGGGAAAGCAGGGGAUCUUCGGACCUUGCGUUAAUGGAGCGGCUGAUAUCUGAUUAGCUAGUUGGUGAGGUAAAGGCUCACCAAGGCGACGAUCAGUAGCUGGUCUGAGAGGACGACCAGCCACACUGGAACUGAGACACGGUCCAGACUCCUACGGGAGGCAGCAGUGGGGAAUUUUGGACAAUGGGCGCAAGCCUGAUCCAGCCAUUCCGCGUGAGUGAAGAAGGCCUUCGGGUUGUAAAGCUCUUUCGCAAGGGAAGAAACGUUACGGGCGAAUAACCCGUGAUAAUGACGGUACCUUGAUAAGAAGCACCGGCUAACUACGUGCCAGCAGCCGCGGUAAUACGUAGGGUGCGAGCGUUAAUCGGAAUUACUGGGCGUAAAGCGUGCGCAGGCGGUUUUGUAAGUCAGAUGUGAAAUCCCCGAGCUCAACUUGGGAACUGCGUUUGAAACUACAAGACUAGAAUAUGUCAGAGGGGGGUAGAAUUCCACGUGUAGCAGUGAAAUGCGUAGAGAUGUGGAGGAAUACCAAUGGCGAAGGCAGCCCCCUGGGAUAAUAUUGACGCUCAUGCACGAAAGCGUGGGGAGCAAACAGGAUUAGAUACCCUGGUAGUCC
rnacentral:rRNA from 1 species